rnacentral:lncRNA from 1 species
UGAAUUUGGUUGCAGAGCGAGGUAAGUGUCGUGGUUAACCUUGACUUGAGCGAAUAGAACCCUUAAAUUAUUUGUUAUGUGAAAUGCAUGUGAACGACGUAUAGGCGAGGUGACGAGUGUCUAUACGUCGUCAAAUUAAUUGUUUGCAUAAUUACUUGAAAAAUCAUAAAUCAUUUUAAAUCAUGAAUUAAUUAUUAUAUUAAUUAUUUCUCUCGUGUUCUUUGCUCAAUAUCAUGCCCUGAAUCCAUGCUAUAACGGCUACAUGCUUAUUUGAUUUAUGUGACUUAAUUUCCACUUGACGUUUAGCAUACUAAUUAUUAAAAUGCGUAUUACAUCCUUAAUUUCCACAAUUAAUUGCUACUUGUCAUCACUUAUUUCUAAUAAAUCAUAAUUAUUGUAUGCUUGUUGUUUUAUAAUUUCAUAUUAAUUAUUGCAUUUAUUGGAGUAAUUUCAUAUUAAUUGUUGAAAAGAGACACAUGUUUUAUUUCUAUUAUUGUUGUUGUUAUUAUUAUUAUUGCGUACAGGUUAAUGUAUGUGAUAUGCAUUAGCCUCGUCACUACUUCGUCGAGGUUAGGCUCGACCCUUACCACUACAUGGGAUCGGUUGUACUGAUACUACACUCUGCACUUCUUGUGCAGAUUUCGGAGUUGGUCCCAGCGGCAUACUGUAGAUUUGCCUGGAUACUGCUACCAGAGGAGACUUGAGGUAUAACUGCACAACGUUCGCAGUUCUGAAGUCCCCUUCUAUAUUAUCUUAGUUGUGUAUUAUAUUUCAAACACCUUGAAUUUUAUUCAGACCUUUAUUUGUAUUAUUGUAUAAGUUCGUGC